UGGGGAAUAUUGCACAAUGGGCGCAAGCCUGAUGCAGCCAUGCCGCGUGUGUGAAGAAGGCCUUCGGGUUGUAAAGCACUUUCAGCGAGGAGGAAGGUGGUGAACUUAAUACGUUCAUCAAUUGACGUUACUCGCAGAAGAAGCACCGGCUAACUCCGUGCCAGCAGCCGCGGUAAUACGGAGGGUGCAAGCGUUAAUCGGAAUUACUGGGCGUAAAAGCGCACGCAGGCGGUUUGUUAAGUCAGAUGUGAAAAUCCCCGGGCUCAACCUGGGAACUGCAUUUGAAAACUGGCAAGCUAGAGUCUCGUAGAGGGGGGUAGAAAUUCCAGGUGUAGCGGUGAAAUGCGUAGAGAUCUGGAGGAAUACCGGUGGCGAAGGCGGCCCCCUGGACGAAGACUGACGCUCAGGUGCGAAAAGCGUGGGGAGCAAAACAGGAUUAGAUACCCUGGUAGUCCACGCUGUAAAACGAUGUCGAUUUUGGAGGUUGUGCCCUUGAGGCGUGGCUUCCGGAGCUAACGCGUUAAAUCGACCGCCUGGGGAGUACGGCCGC
rnacentral:rRNA from 1 species